ACUUUUGCUAUAUCAGGAAUGUUCCGCUCUCUCUCCCUAAUAAUGUUUUUCAGUGCAAUGGAAAAAAAACGUAUAGAUGAAUCAAUGUCUCCCUAAUAAAUGUCAUUCAAAGAUGAAAACGUAUCCAAGGAACCCAAUAUUGUGUAUUCAAAUAUGUAAUUUUUCCUCUCACGAAUUCCUUUUAUGCAUGUUUUCCUACCUGUUUAUACAAGAAUCACGGAUGAGAUUUUUGUGAAUGCAAAGGGUCAUGGUGAUGGAUUUAAUGAAAGUUGAUAUUGAUGUUGAGGGGAAUGGAGACUGCUGAUGGGAAGAGGAAGAAGAUGUAUAAACAGGCUCCAUAAAUGGACAUCAUAUAUCCCUCCAGUGAUUUCGGUCUUCACAAACUUUUCUCUUUACUCAAGGAUCGCAUUAUACGUUAAGAGUAAUUAACAUUUAUGGACCUAAGAGCAUUAGGAAGAGAGUCGGGAAAAGGUAGUUAGUUGUGAAUGCAGAUUUAGCACUGGCCAACAUAAAAUUAUCAUCAUUAUUUUCAUCUAACGAGAAAUUGGAUAAGGUGUACUCUAAUUAUGCCGCAACGCUCUUUUGAUUAUCACUUUCUUUAAGCUGUGAAAAUAAUAGCAUAACAGAAAGAACCGGCAUCUGUAAUCUGGAUGGUACUGAAAAUGUUCCUAUCAUUGUGCUUUCAAAGAAUUGUUGCUUGAUGUCACUGUUGUUGGAUGUGGGCUGGAUUCUGCUGAAAAGACACGUAGAAAGGACACAAUGGUUGGAAACUUGGAAGCGUGGGAAUGGUAUUAACCUUAGGGUAUCAAUUGUAAUUUACGCAUCAUUAGUAGUUUAUUCUAUUUUAAUGUUGGUCUUGCAAUCUGUUCUGGAAAGACCUGAAGUGAGCUAAUACCAUUAUUGUCCAUCCGUAUUACCAAUUUAACAACAUAGAUUUUAAAUUUUAGUAGCUUGCAAAUGCACGACUACUGGAAAAGAUGUUAUCUUAGGUUUAAGUAGAAUUUAUGUUAAAGUCAUAUAUGUGAUUGUGUAAACUUUUUUUUUUAAUUUAAAAUCUUUGUAAUAUUUUUCUUACGCGGUUAUUGGAUAAGGGGGAAGCAAUGUAACCAAUUAGUUAUUAUAAACUC